UGGCAAGUAAAGUAUAUUGAUUCGUGGUUAGAGUGUCCGCCUCGCAUGCGGGAGGUCAUGGGUUCGAACCCCGGCGAGUCAA